rnacentral:rRNA from 1 species
GAUGAACGCUGGCGGCGUGCUUAACACAUGCAAGUCGAACGAAGCAUUUAGAACGGAUUACUUCGGUUUGAAGUUCUUUAUGACUGAGUGGCGGACGGGUGAGUAACGCGUGGGUAACCUGCCUUGUACUGGGGGAUAGCAGCUGGAAACGGCUGGUAAUACCGCAUAAGCGCACAGUGUUGCAUGACAUGGUGUGAAAAACUCCAGUGGUAUAAGAUGGACCCGCGUCUGAUUGGCUAGUUGGUGAGAUAACAGCCCACCAAGGCGACGAUCAGUAGCCGACCUGAGAGGGUGACCGGCCACAUUGGGACUGAGACACGGCCCAGACUCCUACGGGAGGCAGCAGUGGGGAAUAUUGCACAAUGGAGGAAACUCUGAUGCAGCGACGCCGCGUGAGUGAAGAAGUAAUUCGUUAUGUAAAGCUCUAUCAGCAGGGAAGAUAGUGACGGUACCUGACUAAGAAGCUCCGGCUAAAUACGUGCCAGCCGCCGCGGUAA